AAUCCAUAGGUUAAUGAGGCGAACCGGGGGAACUGAAACAUCUAAGUACCCCGAGGAAAAGAAAUCAACCGAGAUUCCCCCAGUAGCGGCGAGCGAACGGGGAGGAGCCCAGAGCCUGAAUCAGCAUGUGUGUUAGUGGAAGCGUCUGGAAAGGCGCGCGAUACAGGGUGACAGCCCCGUACACAAAAGCGCAUGUGCUGUGAGCUCGAUGAGUAGGGCGGGACACGUGGUAUCCUGUCUGAAUAUGGGGGGACCAUCCUCCAAGGCUAAAUACUCCUGACUGACCGAUAGUGAACCAGUACCGUGAGGGAAAGGCGAAAAGAACCCCGGCGAGGGGAGUGAAAAAGAACCUGAAACCGUGUACGUACAAGCAGUGGGAGCACAGGUUUACCUGUGUGACUGCGUACCUUUUGUAUAAUGGGUCAGCGACUUAUAUUCUGUAGCAAGGUUAACCGUAUAGGGGAGCCGUAGGGAAACCGAGUCUUAACCGGGCGUUAAGUUGCAGGGUAUAGACCCGAAACCCGGUGAUCUAGCCAUGGGCAGGUUGAAGGUUGGGUAACACUAACUGGAGGACCGAACCGACUAAUGUUGAAAAAUUAGCGGAUGACCUGUGGCUGGGGGUGAAAGGCCAAUCAAACCGGGAGAUAGCUGGUUCUCCCCGAAAGCUAUUUAGGUAGCGCCUCGUGAAUUCAUCUCCGGGGGUAGAGCACUGUUUCGGCUAGGGGGCCAUCCCGGCUUACCAACCCGAUGCAAACUGCGAAUACCGGAGAAUGUUAUCACGGGAGACACACGGCGGGUGCUAACGUCCGUCGUGAAGAGGGAAACAACCCAGACCGCCAGCUAAGGUCCCAAAGUCAUGGUUAAGUGGGAAACGAUGUGGGAAGGCCCAGACAGCCAGGAUGUUGGCUUAGAAGCAGCCAUCAUUUAAAGAAAGCGUAAUAGCUCACUGGUCGAGUCGGCCUGCGCGGAAGAUGUAACGGGGCUAAACCAUGCACCGAAGCUGCGGCAGCGACGCUGAUGCGUUGUUGGGUAGGGGAGCGUUCUGUAAGCCUG
rnacentral:rRNA from 1 species